AACGCUAGCUACAGGCUUAACACAUGCAAGUCGAGGGGAAACGACAUCGAAAGCUUGCUUUUGAUGGGCGUCGACCGGCGCACGGGUGAGUAACGCGUAUCCAACCUGCCCACCACUUGGGGAUAACCUUGCGAAAGUAAGACUAAUACCCAAUGAUAUCUCUAGAAGACAUCUGAAGGAGAUUAAAGAUUUAUCGGUGAUGGAUGGGGAUGCGUCUGAUUAGCUUGUUGGCGGGGUAACGGCCCACCAAGGCUACGAUCAGUAGGGGUUCUGAGAGGAAGGUCCCCCACAUUGGAACUGAGACACGGUCCAAACUCCUACGGGAGGCAGCAGUGAGGAAUAUUGGUCAAUGGGCGAGAGCCUGAACCAGCCAAGUAGCGUGCAGGAUGACGGCCCUAUGGGUUGUAAACUGCUUUUAUAAGGGAAUAAAGUGAGCCUCGUGAGGCUUUUUGCAUGUACCUUAUGAAUAAGGACCGGCUAAUUCCGUGCCAGCAGCCGCGGUAAUACGGAAGGUCCGGGCGUUAUCCGGAUUUAUUGGGUUUAAAGGGAGCGUAGGCCGGAGAUUAAGCGUGUUGUGAAAUGUAGAUGCUCAACAUCUGCACUGCAGCGCGAACUGGUUUCCUUGAGUACGCACAAAGUGGGCGGAAUUCGUGGUGUAGCGGUGAAAUGCUUAGAUAUCACGAAGAACUCCGAUUG
rnacentral:rRNA from 1 species